rnacentral:rRNA from 1 species
AGCGUACACGGUGGAUGCCCUGGCAGUCAGAGGCGAUGAAGGACGUGCUAAUCUGCGAAAAGCGCCGGCGAGGUGAUAUGAACCUUUGACCCGGCGAUGUCCGAAUGGGGAAACCCAGUGUGAUUCGUCACACUAUCGUUAACUGAAUACAUAGGUUAACGAGGCGAACCGGGGGAACUGAAACAUCUAAGUACCCCGAGGAAAAGAAAUCAACCGAGAUUCCCCCAGUAGCGGCGAGCGAACGGGGAGCAGCCCGGAGUCUGAAUCAGCUUGUGUGUUAGUGGAACGGUCUGGAAAGUCCGACGGUACAGGGUGAUAGUCCCGUACACGAAAAUGCACAGGUUGUGAACUCGAAGAGUAGGGCGGGACACGUGGUAUCCUGUCUGAAUAUGGGGGGACCAUCCUCCAAGGCUAAAUACUCCUGACUGACCGAUAGUGAACCAGUACCGUGAGGGAAAGGCGAAAAGAACCCCGGCGAGGGGAGUGAAAAAGAACCUGAAACCGUGUACGUACAAGCAGUGGGAGCCUACUUGUUAGGUGACUGCGUACCUUUUGUAUAAUGGGUCAGCGACUUAUAUUCUGUAGCAAGGUUAACCGUAUAGGGGAGCCGAAGGGAAACCGAGUCUUAACUGGGCGUUAAGUUGCAGGGUAUAGACCCGAAACCCGGUGAUCUAGCCAUGGGCAGGUUGAAGGUUGGGUAACACUAACUGGAGGACCGAACCGACUAAUGUUGAAAAAUUAGCGGAUGACCUGUGGCUGGGGGUGAAAGGCCAAUCAAACCGGGAGAUAGCUGGUUCUCCCCGAAAGCUAUUUAGGUAGCGCCUCGUGAACUCAUCUUCGGGGGUAGAGCACUGUUUCGGCUAGGGGGCCAUCCCGGCUUACCAACCCGAUGCAAACUACGAAUACCGAAGAAUGUUAUCACGGGAGACACACGGCGGGUGCUAACGUCCGUCGUGAAGAGGGAAACAACCCAGACCGCCAGCUAAGGUCCCAAAGUCAUGGUUAAGUGGGAAACGAUGUGGGAAGGCACAGACAGCCAGGAUGUUGGCUUAGAAGCAGCCAUCAUUUAAAGAAAGCGUAAUAGCUCACUGGUCGAGUCGGCCUGCGCGGAAGAUGUAACGGGGCUAAACCAUGCACCGAAGCUGCGGCAGCGACACUAUGUGUUGUUGGGUAGGGGAGCGUUCUGUAAGCCGUUGAAGGUGGCCUGUGAGGGUUGCUGGAGGUAUCAGAAGUGCGAAUGCUGACAUAAGUAACGAUAAAGCGGGUGAAAAGCCCGCUCGCCGGAAGACCAAGGGUUCCUGUCCAACGUUAAUCGGGGCAGGGUGAGUCGACCCCUAAGGCGAGGCCGAAAGGCGUAGUCGAUGGGAAACAGGUUAAUAUUCCUGUACUUGGUGUUACUGCGAAGGGGGGACGGAGAAGGCUAUGUUAGCCGGGCGACGGUUGUCCCGGUUUAAGCAUGUAGGCGGAGGUUCCAGGUAAAUCCGGUACCUUUUUAACGCUGAGGUGUGAUGACGAGGCACUACGGUGCUGAAGUAACAAAUGCCCUGCUUCCAGGAAAAGCCUCUAAGCAUCAGGUAACACGAAAUCGUACCCCAAACCGACACAGGUGGUCAGGUAGAGAAUACCAAGGCGCUUGAGAGAACUCGGGUGAAGGAACUAGGCAAAAUGGUGCCGUAACUUCGGGAGAAGGCACGCUGAUAUGUAGGUGAAGCCCCUGCGGGUGGAGCUGAAAUCAGUCGAAGAUACCAGCUGGCUGCAACUGUUUAUUAAAAACACAGCACUGUGCAAACACGAAAGUGGACGUAUACGGUGUGACGCCUGCCCGGUGCCGGAAGGUUAAUUGAUGGGGUUAGCGGUAACGCGAAGCUCUUGAUCGAAGCCCCGGUAAACGGCGGCCGUAACUAUAACGGUCCUAAGGUAGCGAAAUUCCUUGUCGGGUAAGUUCCGACCUGCACGAAUGGCGUAAUGAUGGCCAGGCUGUCUCCACCCGAGACUCAGUGAAAUUGAACUCGCUGUGAAGAUGCAGUGUACCCGCGGCAAGACGGAAAGACCCCGUGAACCUUUACUAUAGCUUGACACUGAACACUGGUCCUUGAUGUGUAGGAUAGGUGGGAGGCUUUGAAGCGUGGACGCCAGUCUGCGUGGAGCCGACCUUGAAAUACCACCCUUUAAUGGCUGGUGUUCUAACGUAGACCCGUAAUCCGGGUUGCGGACAGUGUCUGGUGGGUAGUUUGACUGGGGCGGUCUCCUCCCAAAGAGUAACGGAGGAGCACGAAGGUUAGCUAAUCCUGGUCGGACAUCAGGAGGUUAGUGCAAUGGCAUAAGCUAGCUUGACUGCGAGAGUGACGGCUCGAGCAGGUGCGAAAGCAGGUCAUAGUGAUCCGGUGGUUCUGAAUGGAAGGGCCAUCGCUCAACGGAUAAAAGGUACUCCGGGGAUAACAGGCUGAUACCGCCCAAGAGUUCAUAUCGACGGCGGUGUUUGGCACCUCGAUGUCGGCUCAUCACAUCCUGGGGCUGAAGUAGGUCCCAAGGGUAUGGCUGUUCGCCAUUUAAAGUGGUACGCGAGCUGGGUUUAGAACGUCGUGAGACAGUUCGGUCCCUAUCUGCCGUGGGCGCUGGAGAAUUGAGGGGGGCUGCUCCUAGUACGAGAGGACCGGAGUGGACGCAUCACUGGUGUUCGGGUUGUCAUGCCAAUGGCACUGCCCGGUAGCUAAAUGCGGAAGAGAUAAGUGCUGAAAGCAUCUAAGCACGAAACUUGCCCCGAGAUGAGUUCU